CUACUGCGCUAGAGAGGCAAAAGGCAGGAUUGAAGAGCUUAGUGUGAAACGCUCAGGAAAGGAGCAUAGAAUGGGCUGUGCGCCCUCCACCCCAUCUUACUAAUAAUAAUGAAGGGCUUUGAUGCCAGCAAGCAAGCAUCCUUGUAGUUGUUGGGGAGUAGGGUUCCAAACCUUGUUUUUUAGUUUUUUUUUAUAAAAUAAUAAUUCCCAGUUUACUUUUUUUUUUUUGUGGUGUUGUUGAAAGAGAAUUUUUAUUAGGCCUCGCUUUUUGGAGCUGGGAGCAGCUCACACUAUGGUGGAGGAGGUGCCGUGAAGAUCUAGGAGUGUGAGCAGUACGAAAGGCUCCCAUACUGUUUGGAGGGCAGGGGCAUAGAUGCCAAACAAACCUGACCCCUACAAUAGUCGUAGAAGCUGAGUCUAGGAAAGAU